rnacentral:rRNA from 1 species
UGCAGUCGAACGGGAUCUCUUGGAUGGAACCUUCGGGGGAAGUCCGGGGGUGAGAGUGGCGAACGGGUGAGUAACACGUGGGCAAUUUGCCCCUAAGCCCGGGAUAGCCCCCCGAAAGGGGGAGUAAUACCGGAUGUGAUCGUCUCGCGCAUGCGAGACUGUUUAAAGGUGGGGAUCCUUCGGGACCUGCCACUUGGGGAUGAGCCCGCGGCCUAUCAGCUUGUUGGUGAGGUAACGGCUCACCAAGGCGAAGACGGGUAGCUGGUCUGAGAGGAUGACCAGUCACACUGGGACUGAGACACUGCCCAGACUCCUAUGGGAGGCUGCAGUCGAGAAUCAUUCGCAAUGCACGAAAGUGUGACGAUGCGACGCCGCGUGGAGGAUGACGGCCUUCGGGUUGUAAACUCCUGUCAUGAGGGAAGAAUCGCUCGGCCGUGAAUAGCGGCCAAGCUUGACGGUACCUCAAGAGGAAGCCACGGCUAACUCUGUGCCAGCAGCCGCGGUAUACAGAGGUGGCGAGCGUUUGUUCGGGAUUUACUGGGCGUAAAGGGUUGCGGUAGGCGGUCUCGUUGUGUCGGAUGUGAAAUCUCACCGGUCCAACCGGUGAA